rnacentral:rRNA from 1 species
UCCUUUUGAAAUUAAUUUAAGGUCUGGCCUGCCCAAUGAGUAAUUCUUGAAUGGCCGCGGUACUUUGACCGUGCAAAGGUAGCAUAAUCAUUAGUUUUUUAAUUGAAAGCUUGUAUGAAAGGUUGAAUGAGAAAAUUACUGUCUCUAUUUAAAUUUAUUAAAAUUUUAUUUUUAAGUUAAAAAGCUUAAAUUUUAAUUGAAGACGAGAAGACCCUAUAGAGUUUUAUUAAUAAAUUAUAAAGAAUUUUUGGUAUUAAUAUAUUUUUUAUUAUUUAUUAAUUUGGUUGGGGUGAUUGAAAAAUUUAAGUAACUUUUUUUGUAUAAAUACAUUAAUUUAUGAAUAAAUGAUCCUUUUUUAAAGAUUAUAAGAUUAAAUUACCUUAGGGAUAACAGCGUAAUUUUUCUAAAGAGUUCAAAUCGAAAGAAAAGUUUGCGACCUCGAUGUUGGAUUAAAAUUAAAUUUUGGUGUAGAAGCUAAAAAUUUGGGUCUGUUCGACCUUUAAAAUUUUACUUGAU